UCAGAUAUGGUGUAACGGUAACAUUGCCCCCUGUUUCUACAAGGGCCGUCCUGGGUUCGACUCCAGGUGUCUGAC